UGCUCCAAGGUCUGCCCUGUGCAUUGAUGAGCCUAUGGCAGGGCAAGUGAGAUGACUGUCAUGAGCUCUGCAAGGACACAGCAGUGAGGACAUGGCAAGGACCCAGCAGCAGGGACAUGGGCACAAGCAUGUGGGUGCCCCAGCUCUCACUCCCUCUAAGCAAAACCCUCUGUGCCCCAAGGUGCAGCAGCUGGCGCGACCACCCAGGAUAUCGGAAGCUCCCCAGGUGCCUGCAGAGGGAGAUGCCCAAGGUGAGCACCAAGGGCUCCUUCCUUUGGGGUAUUGGGGAGGGAUUUGGGGGCAUGGCGGGGCUGUCGGGUGCUCCUUGGCAGGGGCAGCAUUCUCUGUGUGUGUGUGGCU
rnacentral:lncRNA from 1 species